CACUUGAAAUACCAUAUCAAAAAAAAAAUUCGCUUGCGACACACAGUCGUAAUUUAGCUAGUAGCUCAUCAUCAGAGCAAACGAAAACAACAACAUCAAAUGAAAACAUUCCAAGGCCAAGUACAUAUUACACGCGUAUGUUUCACCAAUACAUAGAUGGUGAGCGCUAGCGUUAGCCGCAUCUAAAAUCGAUUUUUGAGUGUUCACGAAACAGCUGAACGAACAGGCAGCGGAAUUAGAAUGGAAGUAAAAGUACUGAAUUUUAUUUUCCUGAUUUAUUUACAAAUAAUUGUAUGGAUAAAUGAAAAUUCAGAGAAAAGUUACAACUUGAAGUGCAAAUCAUAUUGGAGAUUAAAACACGAUGGGAAUCUACAUGUUGGAUAGUAUGUGUUACGCAUUAUUGACACAUCCAUCAGAAACGUUCGGCACCACUACCACCACCACCACCACCACCACCCUUUGGACAUGAACCGAAGAAAUCAGAGUAUAUGCCCAACUCGGAAAUGGGAAGCAAAGGAAAAAUCGACACACUUUGCGGUUAUCACACACGACAGAUAUUGCGUCGAUAAUAGCUCGCGUUCACCAACCGUAGAUAACACCGAAUCUCGAGCAUACUCUAUAUUUCGUAUAUUUUUUUCAUUAAUUCACCUAUAUUGUAGUUUUUCAAUUUCUUCAUUAAAUAAAAUACAACGAAAUAUACAUUCAUACACAAAUGUAAAGAUUUAGAAAAUGUAUGUGUUGAUGUGAUCAAAUUAAAUCAAAUGCUAUUUCGUUGCU